AAACAAUCUCGACAGCGCAUUUCGGGAGCCACGGCUCCGGGCGCUUUGCUGGGGGCUAAAGGGGUUUAUCCCUUUCCUUGAAUCCCAGCAGGCUAGAACUACCCCCUCCCAGUCUUCAGGCUUGCCACGCUCUCCACCCGAUCCUUCCAUUGAAAGGCAGAGAAGGAAGGAUGUGCUUGGGAACUUUAAGACCCACGAACGACAGCGCACUGAUGGAGCAGCCCAGUGUCUGGGGAUAGGUUCUUACUCUGUUGCUCAAGCUGGAGUGCAGUGAUGCAAUCUUGGCUUGCUGUACCCUCGAACUCCUGGGCUCAAGUGAUUGCCCCAUCUCAGCCUCCUGAGCAUCUUGGACCACAGGCAUGCACUACCAUGCCCAGAAAAGCGGUGUCUGAUUUGGCAAGAAUACAUUUCUGCAUUCAAAGUUGAAAUGUGAAGAUAAACCUCACCCACUUGGAAUAGGAUAAAAGAAAAUCCCCUGGAUAGAGGGAAAUAUGCAAACAGUUCUAUUACCAUGUGUAUCUUUUCCUGAGCUGGGUCUUUAUGCAACAAAGGAACUGGAGGUAAUCCAUGCCU
rnacentral:lncRNA from 10 species